rnacentral:rRNA from 1 species
AAACCGUUCAGGGGUAAACCUGAGAAACCCGAAAGUUCGAAAGGAGAGAUUCACCGCGACUCGACCCGUCGGCGAGUGCGCGUACGGACGUCGCGUCGGCUUCGGUCGGCGUGCGCCGCACGCGUGCCGUUCGGACGUGCGAUCGCGUGCACUUCUCUCCUAGUAGGACGUCGCGACCCGUCGGGUGCCGGUCUACGAUCGACGGUGGAGCCCGCGAGACGAUCGCCUCAAAACGAUUUAGUUCUCGCGAACCCGUCGCAUCCGGCCGACUCGCUCGACGGUAGAACACGAGGGGCGCGGGGCCGCGACCAGUUCGCGUCCGACCCGUCGCAAGCGUGCUCGGUAAUUUGGUGCACUCGGAGUCCUCGCGUCUCCGGUCCCGAAUCCGGGCUACUGUUCGCGGCGGCGUUCUCGGACAGACUCCGUAUACACGCCCGUCAGCGACGCUAUUGCUUUGGGUACUUUCAGGACCCGUCUUGAAACACGGACCAAGGAGUCUAGCAUGAACGCGAGUCUUAGGGACUCUAAAUUUAAAGAACUAAACCUUGAGGCGUAAUGAAAGUGAAGAUCCGCCUUGCGCGCGAUCUAGGGAAUACGGGUGAGGCCGAAAAGCCGAACCCUGCACUCCCGGGGCGUCUCGAUCUCAUCGCGAGAUGAGGCGCACCCAGAGCGUACACGCU